AUUAAAUUCAUCAGUCAGAUGAAUGUCAAAUGAUUGUUUAAUCGCAGAGAAGAAGCGUUUUGGCUCUCCCCCUUUAGCUGUAACAGUCGUCUGCUUCCUUCGAGCCCUUUUCUUGCAAGCAGCGCGUAGAAAAUGCGCCGGAAAGUGUCGGAAAUGUUGUACUUCACUCUUGCGACUCCAAAUUGGAUCGUUUCACUUUAAUCACAUUCACCAUCGCAAUCGCAAUCAACAUUAACGUCCAACGGGCCACUCUGACUCAAAGCUGAAAGGCAACUAGAACUGUUGAAAACGUUUUCAUUUCGUUCGUAACUAUUGCAAUUGAAUGCGUCGUUCCGAAUAUGAUCGGAUUGUAUUCAAUGCACAAUCACACAUGUAUUGUGUGUUGUCCUGGCCAGCAGACAUCAAUCAGUCGGAAUUUACGCCGCUCGGAUUUUGCGUUUGUACACUGCAACAAUACAUAACCAACAAUGACAGCGCCCCUUUUAGAAAUGCACUCGCAAUGCAAUCAUUGACAGUGCAUUACAGUGUGGCUAGUAAUUACAUUUCAAAAUGUUAAGCGCCAAAGCAUCAGGAGGGGUGCAAUAUUAUAGCGUACCGUUACCGUAAUACACACAAAGUAUCAUUAGUG